rnacentral:rRNA from 1 species
GGGAUAUUGGACAAUGGGGGAAACCCUGAUCCAGCGACGCCGCGUGAGUGAAGAAGUAUUUCGGUAUGUAAAGCUCUAUCAGCAGGGAAGAAAAAGCGUAAGCAUUGACAGUACCUGACUAAGAAGCCCCGGCUAACUACGUGCCAGCAGCCGCGGUAAUACGUAGGGGGCAAGCGUUAUCCGGAUUUACUGGGUGUAAAGGGAGUGCAGGCGGCGAUGCAAGUUAGAUGUGAAAGCCCGGGGCUUAACCCCGGGACUGCAUUUGAAACUGUAUUGCUAGAGUAUCGGAGAGGUAAGCGGAAUUCCUAGUGUAGCGGUGAAAUGCAUAGAUAUUAGGAAGAACACCGGUGGCGAAGGCGGCUUACUGGACGAUAACUGACGCUGAGGCUCGAAAGCGUGGGGAGCAAACA